GACGAAUGCUGGCGGCGUGCUUAACACAUGCAAGUCGUACGGUAAGGCCCUUUCGGGGGUACACGAGUGGCGAACGGGUGAGUAACACGUGAGUAACCUGCCCACAACUUUGGGAUAACGCUAGGAAACUGGUGCUAAUACUGGAUAUGUGCUCCUGCUGCAUGGUGGGGGUUGGAAAGCUCCGGCGGUUGUGGAUGGACUCGCGGCCUAUCAGCUUGUUGGUGGGGUAGUGGCCUACCAAGGCGGCGACGGGUAGCCGGCCUGAGAGGGUGACCGGCCACAUUGGGACUGAGAUACGGCCCAGACUCCUGCGGGAGGCAGCAGUGGGGAAUAUUGCACAAUGGGCGCAAGCCUGAUGCAGCAACGCCGCGUGCGGGAUGACGGCCUUCGGGUUGUAAACCGCUUUCGCUCAUGACGAAGCUUUGUGUGACGGUAGUGGGUAAAGAAGCACCGGCUAACUACGUG
rnacentral:rRNA from 1 species